rnacentral:rRNA from 1 species
ACGGAAGGCAGCAGUGGGGAAUAUUGGGCAAUGGGCGAAAGCCUGACCCGGCAACGCCGCGUGAAGGAAGAAGGUCUUCGGAUUGUAAACUUCUUUUAUGAGGGACGAAGGACGUGACGGUACCUCAUGAAUAAGCCAUGGCUAACUACGUGCCAGCAGCCGCGGUAAUACGUAGGUGGCGAGCGUUAUCCGGAUUUACUGGGUGUAAAGGGCGCGUAGGCGGGGAUGCAAGUCAGAUGUGAAAUCUAUGGGCUUAACCCAUAAACUGCAUUUGAAACUGUAUCUCUUGAGUGCUGGAGAGGUAGAUGGAAUUCCUUGUGUAGCGGUGAAAUGCGUAGAUAUAAGGAGGAACACCAGUGGCGAAGGCGGAUUGCUGGACAGUAACUGACGGUGAGGCGCGAAAGCGUGGGGAGCAAACAGGAUUAGAUACCCUGGUA